UGCGGGGUGGAGCAAUGGUAGCUCGGCGGGCUCAUAAUCCGCAGGUUGAGGGUUCAAGUCCCUCCCCCGCAACCA
rnacentral:tRNA from 1 species